CGGGGCGUAGCGCAGCCUGGUAGCGCAUCUGCUUUGGGAGCAGAGGGUCGCAGGUUCGAAUCCUGUCGCCCCGACCA
rnacentral:tRNA from 1 species